CACACGACCUCUCGACCAUGCUCCUCCUCCCAAUGGAUGCCACAACACGGGUGGGCUGUCGCAUGCCGAUUCCUCCCGCCGCCUUCCGCGCCGUUUGCCGCCCCUGGUCCGGCGGUCCUCUUCUGCUUCCCGAUGGCCAAAUGCGAGCGCCCCUGCUGGUCCUCCUCUGCUGCCCCAAGAACGCGGGAGGUCCUCCUCUGCUGCUGCAGACGGACAAGAUCACAAGGCAGACGGCGGGCCUCCCCUGGAGUGACAAAAAUCCAAGCCUGGCGCCGGCCGCAUAUAAAAAUGCCUGACGCCGGUGCCUCCCUCUUCUGCCACCACCGGGAUCUCCCUCCCCACCAAACCCACGCACGUCCCCUGAAUCCAUCUAAUGGCGGCCGCCUCGCUCAAGCUCUGCUCCCCCAAAUCCCUCGCCCCUCCUCCGUCGCCCCAGCACUGCGUGGCCCAUCGACCCCGCCCGGUGCCUCCCUCCGGCCCACGUCGCCGUGUAGCCCGCCGCCGCGCCGGCUCCCGCCGCCUCCCCGGGGACCGCCACAUUUGAAUAGGUGCUGGAGCAGCUGAUCGACGAUGCCGACUUCUCGGAGGACAAGGUGGAGGCGACGCUGCAGCUGCCGCUCAACGAGAAGAACGGGGCGCAGCAGAUCGCCGCCUUCCUCGUGCUGCUCCGGGCCAAGGGCGAGACCUACGAAGAGAUCGUCGGGCUGGCUAAGGCCAUGAUGAGAAACUGCGUCCGUGUCGAGGGCCUGCACGACGCCGUCGACAUUGUCGGUACCGGCGGUGAUGGCAUAGGCACCGUCAACAUCUCCACCGGCUCCACCAUCCUCCCCGCCGGUACACUGAAGCUCAACUAUUCCUAAUCUACAGACUACACACUACCUACCAUUUUGCGUUCUAAAUUUUGGCCCUCUUAGCACCUUACAUGCAGCUCUGUUUCACAUUUCCCGGUGUUUGUGUUUGAACGAAAGGGAUAUUAGAACUCCCAUGUAGGUGACCAAUGUUAUGGGAUUGAGCAACUUCACCGGUAAGACUUGAUACAAAAGCAUUGUGAACAGUGAGGUAGUAUCAAGAAUGGGAUUGCCCAGUAUAUGAUCAAGUUUAUGUUCCAUACACAAGAGCAUUUAGUCACAUUUAGUGCAUCAUGUUCUGCUCCUGAUAUUCCAGCGCUUUCACUAUACUUUUCCCAACGAUUCAAUGUGAACUGAUUCUCAUUAUUUUAGUACAUGAUCCUUCCACACAACAAACAAUUGUCGUAGUUAAAAUGGGAAUUAUCAUGAUCCAACACAAUGCUCUAGGAAUUCUGCAUAUUCCCAAAAUGGUUCACAAAAUAUACUCUAUCACUCGAACUACCUUUUCAAUGCUCUCACAAAUCUGCACAUUCCCAAGCUACCAUGACUCAUUCAUCAAGUGGCACGAAAAUUACUACGCAAUAGCUUCUGAACCUUCUGAACAUGUUUUCAAUGAUCCACUAAUAUACGAAGUUUAGGCAAUCUCACUAAGAAUAUUUUAUAUCUUCUUUUUCCGCCUCCUCCCUAACAAUGCAUACUUUAUUUCUACAGGUUUAGAAAAUUUCCACUCAUCAGCAUUUGCAGCAUCUGAGGUAUUUUUUGUCACAUUUUCAUAUUUACUUCAACACUUGAGAGUGUACAUGUAUUAAGUUUCUUCAAUUGUUCACGGACUACAGGAUGUAGGUUCUUUUUACCUAAUUUUACAAUAUGUAAUCUGUUUCCAUUGUUGUGUAUUACAUUAUGUAUCUUUGUUAUGCGUUUGUAUAUUUUUUGCCUAUUGUGGAUACAAAUUUUACAAGGAAUCCUGUGUGAUGCUGAAUUUAUUCAAGUGAUGCAGAAUGUGAGAUUGUUGCAGGGCAUGGAUGAUAUUUUUUAUGAGGAAAACAGACCAGGUGCUUUAUUUGUUUGUCUGAUAUGUAUAAGUACAUGUUUAUUAUAUUUUUACCACUAAUAAUUUUGAGGACUUGAGCAAAGAGUUUGCGUCAUUGGUACUUCAGCAACAAAGUUACAAAUGAUGAGUCUUACAGUAGUGUAGGAACAACUUUGAGGUACAAGUUGUACACAUAGGUCUGCCAAAACAGUAUCACUGUUGCAUGUAUGCGUUGAUUACCACAUGAUAGUUACCUUGCUCUAAUGCUAGCUGGUGUUCUAGAGCUAUACAUCUAUAGGCACUCUAACUUAUUUAUAUAAUUUCCGUCUGCUUAUAAUCUAUAUUAUGUUUGGCUUGCUACUCUGAUCUGGAGUGAUGUUUGUUUGUUCGUUUCUAGGCAAACAGAUAGAUGACAGUCUAUCAAGUAUCUUACUAUUCAUACAUUGUGACUAAUAUUUUAACUUUUUUUGGCUGAAAUUCUCAGAGGUGUAGCAUGCAAAGCCUAAUAAAAUGGAUUGGGAUUUCAGAGUUGAUCUGUGAAUUGGAUUGUUACUUGGGUCAAUUGAUGGUUUCUAGCUCAUAACUGUAGCUAGAGUGACUAUACCCGCAUGCAAUGUCGGAAGCAGAUGGGUCUCCCAACAAGGGAUUAAAUGCAAAAUCAAUAAAUGCUCAAAUAAAUAAUGUCAGAAGCACACUUAGUUGAUAAUUUGUUGAUGAGCUGUGGGAUCACACAAAGUGUGAUAGAGGUGUACGUAGAGUCACAGACAUGGGUCAGCCUAUGGAGUUCUUGUGUCACAUAUCUGUUCUAGAGUAGUAAUUUGAGCUAAAUUCUGUUUUAUCAAUUUUGACUUCCGAGAAUUCUGAAGCCCGCAAUCAAUCUGUUACUUAAUUUUUUAAUGGGGUUGUUGUUUGGUUUCUUUAAACAACUACUCUGAACUGAAGCAUGCAUUUCAAAAGAUUGUUACAGUAAUGAUUUUCUCACUACAAAUGUGCUAUCUCCUAGCUUUGCCACUUUGGAAACAUUUCAUGAAACCGGGCUGUAAUCACCUACUGAAAUCGGAGAGGUUUUCAGAAGACUUGCUGAUGCAUGAUGACAUUGCUAAUUGCUAUAGUAGUCACGCAGAUGCAGCUUGGUGUAUUUUUUUCCUUCUUUCCCUUUAUAUUUUCUUCAUCCUUGUGCUUGGACAUUUGUAACUCAAGAGGUCACAAACUUCUGCAAUCUGGAGGUGUCAUAUUCAGACUGGUACAUAUGCAUGUAGCUUUUCAUGAAGCAUCAUUUUACUGAAGUGUCAAAUGUCUGUUCUCUUAUAGUCCAGGAGCCUGAUUCCAAAGGUGCGUAUGAGCUUAUUGACAUCGAUGGUGUGGUAAAUGUGACCAUAAGGAACUUGGAACAGGUGUACGUCUCUUAAUGGACAUCUUUAUGUUUUGCAUUGAACUUUGAUUUUAAUUGUUUUUGUGUACAUCUUCUAAAAUUCCAGGAUUGGCUUCUUACUCAUUACAAAUGAUUCCAGUCUUUAUUCUUAGUUUUUACAGUUACAAAAAUAACAAUGUUCAAACUCACUGACCUGUGCUUUCUGACAUGUCUUAAUUGUAUUGUUCAUUAUAUAUGCAUGUGGCGAUACUUCCUUUCAAUCUCUUCAUUAGUUAGUAACCUAGAUCAUGUGCCAAGUUUUACUUACUCGACACUCGCUACUCUUUUCCUUGUGCAAUUGUUCAGUCCUGGUUAUAUUUUGUGGUCUUUCUGAGUUGCAUAAAUAACUUGAAAAAAUUGGAGCUACUAAACCUUACCUGUACUGAUUUUUUUUCUGUUUUUCUUUAUCAAAAUACGGUUCUUCUUCAAAGUAUUUUUUUUGUUCUACUGAAUGUGCUUCUAAAAAAGGAUCUCAACAGAUCAACUGGAAGGAGAAGAGAAUAGCCAAAGAGAUGUUAAGAAGAAGACACAUGCUUCAGAUUAACUCCUAUUCCCGAACCAAUAUGCUUUUGAUGAUUGAAUUAGAUAAAACAAGUAUGUACUUCUAAAGGUUAAUGGAUUCUAAUAGUAUGAUUUUGACAUGCAAAUAAGUUUUCCAUAUGUCUGACUAUAUUGUGUUGUCGUGCAAGUAUACAGAUGAAUGAUCUCACUUUUGGGGACUUGGUUUUGUGAAUCGAUGUGUUACCUUGAGCAAAUAUCUAAUUAUUUGUACAAUGUUACAAUAUGUACUUUUACUAUUGAUAUAUCAUACUGUAUGUAGAAUCUUUCAAUACAUAUAUACUUGCGGCAACUACUAACCGAAAUUCAUUUUUCACCUACAAAAAUAUAUAGAAUCUUGUUCCAGGUUUUCAUGUUGAUACCUGAUUUACAUGUCCAUACUGUUGGGCUGUUCGAGCUAACACUGCAAGGCCUUACAGUGCCUCAGGGGCAUCUAAUAAAGUUUUUAGGUUUGCCCCUAGAACUAUUAUAUUCAGACAAUAUACUUGCUUGUGGAACCAUCAGAGCUGAAUCUUCUAGGUAAUUUUACAUAAUCACCGGCUGGGUGCCCACAAUCAUCCCUGAUUUGUAUUGAAGUGACAUAAGGUUUACUCAUGUUCUUAUAUUUUAUAUCUCUUUUCUGUUCUACUUGGUUGAUUUUCUCCUUCAUGUUAUUCAUCUACUACCCUUAUAAAAAGAAGAGAGGGGCAGAUCCAAAUAAUCACAUCCAUCCAUUAACAAGAUCUAAUGGCCUCUAAUCCUCUGAUGUUUAACCCUCCAAGCCAUGGCUUAAGCCACUAAUUCAUCGAUCGCUAACCCUGCCAGCCGUUUGAAAAAAAAAACCGCUGCCAACAACGCACGCCCACACCACACCACACGACCUAUCGCCCACGCCCGCACGACCUCUCGACCAUGCUCCUCCUCCCAAUGGAUGCCACAACACGGGUGGGCUGUCGCAUGCCGAUUCCUCCCGCCGCCUUCCGCGCCGUUUGCCGCCCCUGGUCCGGUGGUCCUCUUCUGCUUCCCGAUGGCCAAAUGCGAGCGCCCCUGCUGGUCCUCCUCUGCUGCCCCAAGAACGCGGGAGGUCCUCCUCUGCUGCUGCAGACGGACAAGAUCACAAGGCAGACGUCGGGCCUCCCCUGGAGUGACAAAAAUCCAAGCCUGGCGCCGGCCGCAUAUAAAAAUGCCUGACGCCGGUGCCUCCCUCUUCUGCCACCACCGGGAUCUCCCUUCCCACCAAACCCACGCAUGUCCCCUGAAUGCAUCUAAUGGCGGCCGCCUCGCUCAAGCUCUGCUCCCCCAAAUCCCUCGCCCCUCCUCCGUCGCCCCAGCACUGCGUGGCCCAUCGGCCCCGCCCGGUGCCUCCCUCCGGCCCACGUCGCCGUGUAGCCCGCCGCCGCGCCGGCUCCCGCCGCCUCCCCGGGGACCGCCACAUUUGAACAGGUGCGCACAAGCCGCAAUGCCUCCCGCAUCCCCUCUAUUUGUUCCGUCCGGUGAUUGACUGACCGGGUUUCCUUUCAAUCUCCUGUCUUGUGGCCGCGACGAUGCCAGGUGCUGGAGCAGCUGAUCGACGGGGCCGACUUCUCGGAGGACAAGGUGGAGGCGACGCUGCAGCUGCCGCUCAACGAGAAGAACGGGGCGCAGCAGAUCGCCGCCUUCCUCGUGCUGCUCCGGGCCAAGGGCGAGACCUAUGAAGAGGUGCGUGCGCGUCCUCCCGUGAUUCGUGAUUUCUGAAUGAGCAGAAAUGGAGAGAGAUUUCUGCGGCCGCUAAUUUCGAGUUUUGUCAAGCCGUUCUUCAGAUCGUCGGGCUGGCUAAGGCCAUGAUGAGAAACUGCGUCCGUGUCGAGGGCCUGCACGACGCCGUCGACAUUGUCGGUACCGGCGGUGAUGGCAUAGGCACCGUCAACAUCUCCACCGGCUCCACCAUCCUCGCCGCCGGUACACUGAAGCUCAACUAUUCCUAAUCUGCAGACUACACACUACCUACCAUUUUGCGUUCGAAAUUUUGGCCCUCUUAGCACCUUACAUGCAGCUCUGUUUCACAUUUCCCGGUGUUUGUGUUUGAACCAAAGGGAUAUUAGAACUCCCAUGUAGGUGACCAAUGUUAUGGGAUUGAGCAACUUCACCAGUGUUUGUGUUUGAACCAAAGGGAUAUUAGAACUCCCAUGUAGGUGACCAAUGUUAUGGGAUUGAGCAACUUCACCAGUAAGACUUGAUACAAAAGCAUUGUGAACAGUGAGGUAGUAUCAAGAAUGGGAUUGCCCAGUACAUGAUCAAGUUUAUGUUCCAUACACAAGAGCAUUUAGUCACAUUUAGUGCAUCAUGUUCUGCUCCUGAUAUUCCAGCGCUUUCACUAUACUUUUCCCAACGAUUCAAUGUGAACUGAUUCUCAUUAUUUUAGUACAUGAUCCUUCCACACAACAAACAAUUGCCGUAGUUAAAAUGGGAAUUAUCAUGAUCCAACACAAUGCUCUAGGAAUUCUGCAUAUUCCCAAAAUGGUUCACAAAAUAUACUCUGUCACUCGAACUACCUUUUCAAUGCUCUCACAAAUCUGCACAUUCCCAAGCUACCAUGACUCAUUCAUCAAGUGGCAAGAAAAUUACUACGCAACAGCUUCUGAACCUUCUGAACAUGUUUUCAAUGAUCCACUAAUAUAUGAAAUUUAGGCAAUCUCACUAAGAAUAUUUUAUAUCUUCUUUUUGCCGCCUCCUCCCUAACAACGUAUACUUUAUUUCUACAGGAUUAGAAAAUUUCCACUCAUCAGCAUUUGCAGCAUCUGAGGUAUUUUUGUCACAUUUUCAUAUUUACUUCAACACUUGAGAGUUUACAUGUAUCAAGUUUCUUCAAUUGUUCACGGACUACAGGAUGUAGUUUCUUUUUACCUAAUUUUACAAUAUGUAAUCUGUUUCCAUUGUUGUGUAUUACAUUAUGUAUCUUUGUUAUGCGUUUGUAUAUUUUCUGCCUAUUGUGGAUCCAAAUUUUAUAAGGAAUCCUGUGUGAUGCUGAAUUUAUUCAAGUGCUGCAGAAUGUGAGAUUGUUGCAGGGCAUGGAUGAUAUUUUUUAUGAGGAAAACAAGCCAGGUGCUUUAUUUGUUUGUCUGAUAUGUAUAAGUACAUGUUUAUUAUAUUUUUACCACUAAUGAUUUUGAUGACUUGAGCAAAGAGUUUGCGUCAUUGGUACUUCAGCAACAAAGUUACAAAUGAUGAGUCUUACAGUAGUGUAGGAACAACUUUGAGGUACAAGUUGUACACAUAGGUCUGCCAAAACAGUAUCACUGUUGCAUGUAUGCGUUGAUUACCACAUGAUAGUUACCUUGCUCUAAUGCUAGCUGGUGUUCUAGAGCUAUACAUCUAUAGGCACUCUAACUUAUUUAUAUAAUUUCCGUCUGCUUAUAAUCUAUAUUAUGUUUGGCUUGCUACUCUGAUCUGGAGUGAUGUUUGUUUGUUCGUUUCUAGGCAAACAGAUAGAUGACAGUCUAUCAAGUAUCUUACUAUUCAUACAUUGUGACUAAUAUUUUAACUUUUUUUGGCUGAAAUUCUCAGAGGUGUAGCAUGCAAAUCUUAAUAAAAUGGAUUGGUAUUUCAGAGUUCAUCUGUGAAUUGGAUUGUUACUUGGGUCAAUUGAUGGUUUCUAGCUCAUAACUGUAGCUAGAGUGACUAUACCCGCAUGCAAUGUCGGAAGCAGAUGGGUCUCCCAACAAGGGAUUAAAUGCAAAAUCAAUAAAUGCUCAAAUAAAUAAUGUCAGAAGCACACUUAGUUGGUAAUUUGUUGAUGAGCUGUGGGAUCACACAAAGUGUGAUAGAGGUGUACGCAGGGUCACAGACAUGGGUCAGCCUAUGGAGUUCUUGUGUCACAUAUCUAUUCUAAAAUAGUAAUUUGAGCUAAAUUCUGUUUUAUCAAUUUUGACCUCCGAGAAUUCUUAAGCCCGCAAUCAGUCUGUUACUUAAUUUGUAUAGUUGGCAUUUUUUAAUGGGGUUGUUGUUUGGUUUCUUUAAACAACUACUCUGAACUGAAGCAUGCAUUUUGAAAGAUUGUUACAGUAAUGAUUUUCUCACUACAAAUGUGCUAUCUCCUAGCUUUGCCACUUUGGAGACAUUUCAUGAAACCGGGCUGUAAUGACCUACUAAAAUCGGAGAGGUUUUCAGAAGACUUGCUGAUGCAUGAUGACAUUGCUAAUUGCUAUAGUAGUCACGCAGAUGCAGCUUGGUGUAUUUUUUCCUUCUUUCCCUUUAUAUCUUCUUCAUCCUUGUGCUUGGACAUUUGUAACUCAAGAGGUCACAAACUUCUGCAAUCUGGAGGUGUCAUGUUCAGACUGGUAUAUAUGCAUGUAGCUUUUCAUGAAGCAUCAUUUUACUGAAGUGUCAAAUGUAUGUUCUCUUAUAAUCCAGGGGCCUGAUUCCAAAGCUGCGUAUGAGCUUAUUGACAUCGAUGGUGUGGUAAAUGUGACCAUAAGGAACUUGGAACAGGCGUACGUCUCUUAAUGGACAUCUUUCUGUUUUGCAUUGAACUUUGAUUUUAAUUGUUUUUGUGUACAUCUUCUAAAAUUCCAGGAUUGGCUUCUUACUCAUUACAAAUGAUUCCAGUCUUUAUUCUUAGUUUUUAUAGUUACAAAAAUAACAAUGUUCAAACUCACUGACCUGUGCUUUCUGACAUGUCUUAACUGUAUUGUUCAUUAUAUAUGCAUGUAGCGAUACUUCCUUUCAAUCUCUUCAUUAGUUAGUAACCUAGAUCAUGUGCCAAGUUUUACUUACUCGACACUCGCUACUCUUUUCCUUGUGCAAUUGUUCAGUCCUGGUUAUAUUUUGUGGUCUUUCUCAGUUGCAUAAAUAACUUGAAAAAUCUGGAGCUACUAAACCUUACCUGUACUGAUUUUUUUUUCUGUUUUUCUUUAUCAAAAUAUGGUUCUCCUUCAAAGUAUUUUUUUGUUCUACUGAAUGUGCUUCUAAAAAAGGAUCUCAACAGAUCAUCUGGAAGGAGAAGAGAAUAGCCAAAGAGAUGUUAAGAACACCAAUAUGCUUUUGAUGAUUGAAUUAGAUAAAACAAGUAUAUACUUCUAAAGGUUAAUGGAUUCUAAUAGUAUGAUUUUGACAUGCAAAUAAGUUUUCCAUAUGUCUGACUAUAUUGUGUUGCCGUGCAAAUAUAUAGAUGAAUGAUCUCACUUUUGGGGACUUGGUUUUGUGAAUCGAUGUGUUAUCUUGAGCAAAUAUCUAACUAUUUGUACAAUGUUACAAUAUGUACUUUUACUAUUGAUAUAUCAUACUGUAUGUAGAAUCUUUCAAUACAUAUAUACUUGCGACAACUACUAACCGAAAUUCAUUUCACCUACAAAAAUAUAUAGAAUCUUCCUCCAGGUUUUCAUGUUGAUACCUGAUUUACAUGUCCAUACUGUAGGGUUGUUCAAGCUAACACUGCAAGGCCUUACAGUGCCUCAGGGGCAUCUAAUAGUUUGCCCCUAGAACUAUUAUAUUCAGACAAUAUACUUGCUUGUGUAACCAUCAGAGCUGAAUCUUCUAGGUAAUUUUACAUAAUCACCGGCUGGGUGCCCACAAUCAUCCCUGAUUUGUAUUGAAGUGAGAUAAGGUUUACUCAUGUUCUUAUAUUUUAUAUCUCUUUUCUGUUCUGCUUGGUUGAUUUUCUCCUUCAUGUUGUUCAUUUGAUUAAAAGAAUCGGGAGAAGGGAAGGAAAGAGAGAGAAGCAUAAUCUUGGGAGUAAGAGAGAUACUGACAGGUAGUUCCCAUCUUUUAUUCAUUUCAUCUUGCGUUUGGAUAUGAAGCGGUGGCAUAGUUGCCAUGAUAGUCAUUUUUCUGCCAUCAAUUGGAAGAUGUGAAGAGUGGUACAAGAUAUGUCUUGUUAUAUAGAAGAGUUAGAGCUGGAUGGAGUAUCAAACAAUGUAAUCAAAUAAUGCAUGGAAUUGUAAGCCAAUCAUAUAAGCAUAGACAUAUUUCCAGUUUUCCGAUGUAUAGUGGAAGUUACUUAAAUCAUUUGAAAUAUUAAUAUAAAGAAUUUUUUUA